rnacentral:rRNA from 1 species
CAAGGCGGUCGACACCGGGAAGAGCAAGACGGCGCGGGCGGCGAUGCUGGGCACACUGCGAAGGAGGUAUGGGACUCCCUCAAGGUUCGCUUUGUCAGCGCCGAUCGGGUGCGGGCGGCGAGGCUCGGGACGCUGCGCAGCGAGUUCGAUCGCUUGCGGAUGGACGACGGCGACAAGCUGGACGACUACGCCCGGAAGGACAGCGGCAUGGCGGCGAGGUAUGCGAUGCUCGGAUCGACGCUCGACGACAACGCCAUGGUGAAGAAGUUGCUGGACACCGUGCCGGACCGCCUGUACGCCGCGGUGGCCGGAAUCGAGCAAUUCUUCAACGUGGAGAAGAUGGUGUUCGAGAAGGCGCUCGGGCGGCUCAAGGCGUUCGAGGAGAGGACGUCGUGGCGCGUGCGGGCCGGCGGCGAGCGCGCGGACGGGCAACUGAUGAUGACGGCGGCACAGUGGGCGGCUCGGGAGCGACGGCAAGGCGGGCGCAGCUUCGGCGACCAAGAUGACGACGGCGCGGCGAGCACUGCGUCGGGCAACGGAGGGAAGCGUCGUGGAUGCUGCUACAAAUGCGGGGAGCACUGGCACUUCCGGCGCGCAUGCCCGCAGCUGCAGAAAGGACCGGCGGCGGAGCAGGCUCUCCUGGCGUGUGGUGUGGUUGGGCUCGUCGGAGCGCGU